CAGAAUGAUAUGGGUAUAAGGAUAUUUACUAUGGCUUUAUUAGUAAUAAGUCAAACAUUUGGAAACAACCUAAGUGUACUCCCUUGGGGGAUCAGAUGAAAUAUGGUACAAUGCAUAUAACAGCCAUGUGAAAUGAGAACAGUAUCUAUGUAAUAACACAACAAGAUCUUUAGGGCAUAGUAUUGAAUAGAAACAAUGAAGCAUAGAGCAAUGAGUAAAGUAUGUCACCCUCUCUGGUGUGCAGGAGGCUGCAAUAAGCUUAGAAGCACAAGUGUGUGUCCACCGUGUGUGCACAGAAUACCUCUAGAAGUGUUCUCCGGAAAACUGGAAACCAGCACCUUUUAGAGGUGAGAGCCAGUGGCUGGGGACCAGAGGUGGGAUACUUCCUUAUAAACUUAUAUCAUUUUGUGGUUUUUAAACUUUGCACCAUUUUUGUGGGUAACCUAGUUUAAAAAAACUUAAUGAGAAAAAAAAUCGAAUGAGUUUUUACUGGCUUAUUGCAUUAAAAUGACCACAAUUUUUUUUUUCUCAGUGUAAGGGAGGAAAAAACAUGAAUCCAACUCUGUAAGCAAUUCUCUAUAUUAAGGCAAUUGUGACAUAAAAUUAUAGCUCAGUGAUCUGAAAUAAUUAGUUGAUACUCAUGUCCCCCAAAGCAUGGCUGUGGCCCAAGGAACAUAUCUUGAUAGACAGCACCCAUCGUUCAGCUGGACGCCACACCCAUCCCAUACCACCAACAUUCACUGCAGGCCUACCCUCAGACAGGUGUUUUGUCAGGAGCUUGAAAUAAAGUACUAGUGAGACUGUCUUUGUCAUUAAGGUAGUCACAAAGGUGACAUAAACCCUGUGAUGAACUCUAGAAUCCUUGGAGGCAGGAGCUGUGGGAGUCACCUCAAUGUGCCUAGCAUCUAGAAUACAGUAAACACAAGAAUGUUUGUGGAAUGAACGGGUGAAUGAGGGCCCGGCAGAAUACAGAUGAAGGAGACAGCUCCAGGGACAGAGGCAACUAGGAGGUGACAAAAUGUGUCAUGAAAGGUUCCCCAAGUCCACAAUCUCACUACCUGGCACCACGACUUUUGCCAUAGCCGUCCACACAGAGGAUUGCUCUGAUUGACAUGAACCAUAUUUAAUGAGUUGGCAGGCGGAUGACUGCCUAGUUUUGUAGAAUGAACAUGAACUACAGAUCCAGAAAGACCUGUGUUAGAAUCCAGAAUCUGCCAUUUCUCAACUAAAUGACGGUGGGAAACUCUACCUUUCUGAACCUUACCCUUCCUGUUUAUAAAUUGGAAAUCAUCAUACCUAAAUCACAAGCUAAUGGUGAGCCCUCGGAAUCAUUCAGUCUUUGGACAAAAUAGGACAUGGUUAGUGGGUGCCCAGACACAGAAUAAUGCUUGCACAAAGUUGAGCCCCGGGGGUAGUAAGUGGCAGGUAUUGAUGCAUGGACUCUCUUGAGAUCACCAGUGAUUUUCGAUAGUAGGAUGACAGUUCUCCACCCCUUUGAAAAGGGAGAAUUCAGAAAGAAUGAUUGGAUACUUCUGCAGUGUGAAGUGAACGUAGAGGGAUGCAUAAAGAAAUUGAGGGUCAGUAGGGGGACAAGUGGGUCUGGCUCAGUAAUUUUACUCCAACAGAGAUUCUGGCUUUCAUGAAUGAAAAACCUUCUGACAAGAAUCACGCGCUAUUGGUAUAAAAUGUGUGCUCUUAAUUUUCUUCUCCAAAGAUAGUAGUGCACAGCAAAGGAAAAACCAAGAAAAUGCAACCUGAGCUAGAAGACCUUCUUUGCCAGCCCCCAGACAACUUUUAGACCCAAAGUCCCCCCGCCUUCACGUUCCCUCACUUAUCACUGACCUAGGGAGACUUUGGGUACAUGCAUGUCUGUACAUGGGCUUUGGGGAAUCCAAAAUAGAUUGUGGUUGAUGAUCAGCAACAUGGCCAUAACCGUGGAGAUGUCUUUGGGUGGGCUACUAUGGCUACAAGGAGCUCCAUGCACAGAUGCCUCUCAGUGCUACGACGUUCCCAUGGACCAAAGAUGAGGGACUGGUCUUAAGCCAGCAUGGCUGCCUCCUGCCCCUGAGCCAUGGCCUACACUGCUACAGCCCCCACAAUGCAUCUCCCUUCUCGCUUGACCUUCACUCAGGCGGCUCCUCUUGUCUUAAACGUUUUGCUAACUCUUCUCCUGUCCUUCAGAGCUCCGAUCAGGGUCGCCUCCUCCAGGAAGCCAUCUUUGGUCAUCACUUCCUUCACUGUCCCCAGGUCAGUCGGCCAGGAGCCUGAGAGCCUCUCUCUGUUGUCAGCCUUCAAGUCAUUUCCUUCUUCUCCUCAGCCAGACUGUGGACUGGUGAUGGGCCUCCUCUCUUCAAACCCCCAGAACCUCCAGCAGCAUCUGGCACAUAGUGGGGACUCAAAAGAUGGUUCAAUCAACAAACCAGCCGUGGAGCAGGCGGGGAAGCUCUGUCCUCUCGCCGUGGGGAAGUUUAUCAGUUUUCCUCAGGAGCUUGAUGGUUUGUCUGAGGUUCCACGGAGGAGACGGCUUCGAGCAUGCCUGCCCUCCAGCAGGCAUAAGAGGGAGCAGAGGGAUCCCUCCCGGGUCCUCGGAGGAAUGAAGAGGUUCGAGACGUACGGACAGAGCUGACAGGAGUCUCCGGAAUGAUCUGUGGCUUUAUGGGUUUCCCUCGAGGCAGCGUUUUCAGAUGCCAGUUACAAAUCCUGGAACAGCCUCUUUGGAAUAAUUCUUGAAAAGCCCUUGUCCAGUAAAGAGAAGUCGUCACAGCUUGAGUUAGAGGACUCCGCUGAUGGGAAGCAUCUUGUUCUCCCUAUUUGAAGAAUAGACGAGCCAACCCCACUCCUCCUGAAGAUCUACAAACAGAGGUGGCUCUCACAGCACAUCCCCCGCUGCGGUCGGCCAGCCUGCAUGGGACUCCCCCGUCCCCUCCGAGGGCAGAAGCCAUCUGGUUUCCUACGUGAGGGUCGACACUUCACAAUGGGUUUUGACACUGUUUGGGUUUUAAGCUGCUGGUUUUAACCUGGUACUUGCCUCAAAAUGUAAAACCACAACAGAAGUAUCAGCGUUUCGCACAGGAUCAGGGCUAACCGUGGAGUCGAGCCACAGGCCAAGGCCCAACUCUGAACUUCUGUGGUCAUCAGCUCUGCUGAACCAAGACAGAAGCCAGACAAAGGGGGAACCGAGAUGCUCUGAUGGGGGGGGGGCGCAUGAAAUUUGUCCUUUCUAAUGGUCGUGCCAAGAUCUCAAGCCAAGGAUCCCCAUAGAAGUCUCCAGAAGAAGGAGAUUCGAGGAGGCUGGGUUCUCUCAGACGACCAGUCACCCUCAAGGAUUAGGCUUUUAAUUCCCUCAAGACUGCUGAUUUUAGAAAUCCGAGAUAAACAUGGAGUCGGGCUACAUUUUGCCAAGACCAAUUGAAAGAUAAUGAUGGGAAGAAACCGUAUCUUGUUUUAGUGGGAUUAGUUCCAUAGCUAAUUUCAUCACAGAGAACUGUAAGACUUUAAGAAAAUCAUCCAACAAGACAGAACUUGGAUUCCUCCUGUUGAAAACGGCGACAAUGGUACUUACUUUGGAGAGUUGUGGGGAUUCCGAGACCGUAUACUUAAAGCCCAGUGACUGGCAUAGCAAUGAUAUGAUAUAAACCGUGAUAUUGAUUGUAAUGUAGUGUCUUGCUUUGAAAAAUUCUCUUUUCAGGUAACCCAGCAACCCACUCCAAGCCCAGGAAAUAGGGAAGAGGCAGAAGCAAGAUAAAAAUGAUGACAAGACCCAGGAAAUGAAAUCUCACUUUAUUUAAGGAAAUGACAAGGAAUACAGUUUCACAACAGCCAUAAAAUGAAGACUCUAUUUAGCCCCAGGAUAUUGAAUUGGGAUGAAGAUAUCCAGCUGUAAAACGACGAUAAAACAUCCCCGCGAAUUGGCAAGAGGAUUGUCAUACCAGUCUCUUGUCUUCUUUGGGAGGUCAUAAAAGACGCCCAAGAGCUGCACUUUGAGUUACUUGAGUUGCACAGAAGUGAAGAUCCCUCCCCCUGACCCCACCUUUUCUGUACAUCCCCACAGAGACUCAGACAAUGAAGUUUUGGAGAGUUUAGGAAGGCCAUUUUAUGGACUCCUUCUUCUGUGAAAUGCUGAAAGCACAAACUGACGGGUAUUGACAAUGAGCCUGUGGUCCCCAUGUCCUGAGCACCUGUCAUUCGUUGUCUGGCCCAGGCUGGGUUCAGUGCAAACCAAUACAGCCACAUUGCUACUGUGGACAGAAAUGGAAGACCUCCUAAAGCCAUACUCCAGGUGUGACAGGGAUGCCACAAGAUGUGCCUGAGCAGUUGGCAGAGUUGUAUUGCCACCACUUUUCAUGGACAAAGAGCUUCUUUUGUGUACUGCUGCCAAGAUGUUCCCAUUAAAGCAUCUCCCCUUCACUUGCUGUCAGUCUAUAGGGUUCUGGGAAAGCUGGCUUCAUCCCUAAUUCUGGAGGAUGAGUGAUCCAGGCUUUGACCAAUCAGAAUGUUGUAUUUUCCCUUGUCACUCUGAUUGGUUAGGAGAUGGGCAUAUGAUUCAAACAGUGUCAAUGAGAUGAGGGUGCCACUGGGAAUUCUGGGAAAUUCUGCCUGCCUGAAAAGUGUGAAGGAGGUGAAAUCUGAGGCCACUGCAGAGGAGAAAGCCAGGUGGGGAGCUGAGAGACAGGGGGAGCAAGGUGUGAGGGCCAUCGGUCCUGCCCUGCCUCAAGCCAAUCCUCAGUCUAACUUUUAUCCAAGUCAAGUAACUUCUCUUUUCUACUUCAGCCCCUUUGAUAGGAAAUUUUGCUACUUAAACUUUUUUUAAUUGCCCUGUUUUCUUCCUUAUCACUUCUUCCUUUACUGUUUUGUGGUUUAUGAUUAGUUUUUUGUAAAAGCUUUAUGUACUUAUUUUAGAAAAUUUCAUCAAUAUGCAAAAAAAAAAAAAAAACAAUAUAAUGCAACUUUGCCAAGAUCAUGUAGCUCUUGGGUGGCUGAACUAAGAUUCUGACCCAGGCUGGCUGGUGACAAAUGCAAGUUCCUGACCCUUCAAUAUGCUCGGGCCCUUACACAGACUUUUCAGGCAUUUCAAAUGUUCAGAAAUUUUCCUGCUUGAAGAACUUUUUCUUAUGAGCAUAUAUAAUUAUUGUUUUGCAAAGCUGGAAUGAUAUUACAAAUAUAGUUUAUGCAGUAUACUUUUAAACUGGGUAAUACAUCUGGGACAUUUUCUCAAGUCAUUGUAAAAAUAAAAAUAAUCAUAAUCAUAAUAAAAUAAUAAUAAUAAUUCCUCAGGACAAAGGGAGACAAAAUGAGAUCCACAGCUCAUACUUCCUCUUAGUGGUCCUCAAACAUGGUAUGUAGCCUUAUCACCUGGAGGGCUUUUUAAAAAACAAAUUGCUAGUGCCAGCCAGAGUUUCUCAUUCACAGAGCUGGCGUUGGACCUAAGAUUUUGCAUUUCUAACCAGGUCUCAGGUGAUGCUGAACAUAUCUGGUCCAGGGACCACAUUUUGAGAACCAUUCCCUUGUAGAAUCAACUGCAGACCAAUAAAAGGGGCAAGUAAAAAAAUAAAUAAAAUUCUGCAUCUCUCAUUCA